rnacentral:rRNA from 1 species
AUUGAACGCUGGCGGCAGGCCUAACACAUGCAAGUCGGGCGAGCGGCGGACGGGUGAGUAAUGUAUGGGGACUGCCUGAUGGCGGGGGAUAACUACUGGAAACGGUAGCUUAUACCGCAUACUAUCGGAUAAACCAUAUGGGAUUAGCUAGUAGGUGAGGUAAUGGCUCACCUAGGCGACGAUCCCUAGCUGGUCUGAGAGGAUGAUAAGCCACACGUGGACUGAGACACGGCCCAGACUCAGACGGAGACAGCAGUGGGGAAUAUUGGACAAUGAGCGAAAGCCGGAUGAGGCAAUGCGGCUGGUAGGAAGAGGGCCCUAGGGUUGGAAAGUACUGUAAGUCGGGAGGCGUUACCGACAGAAGAAGCACCGGCUAACUCCGUGCCAGCAGCCGCGGUAAUUC